GGGUCUGUAGCUCAGGUGGUUAGAGCKCACCCCUGAUAAGGGUGAGGUCGGUGGUUCGAGUCCACUCAGACCCACCA
rnacentral:tRNA from 1 species